CAAGGAUAAAGGUCCUUAAGUAUGCAUUGAGCCAAAAACCCUAUACUCUUUGCAUUUAGACCUUGUCCUAGACCAAAAAUCAGGAACUCUGUGUAGUGGCAUUGAAGCUAGUGACGCUACAUCGUUCUUCCUGAAACAUUUUC